rnacentral:tRNA from 1 species
UGGGGUAUCGCCAAGUGGUAAGGCAGUGGACUCUGACUCCACCAUUCCGUAGGUUCGAAUCCUUCUACCCCAGCCA